CGCCUCCCUCCGCCGCCACUCAGACUCCGUACGGGAGGCGAGCAGUAGGAAUAUUGCUCAAGUACGGGGGAAACCCGUAGAAGCAGCAACGCCGCGUGAGUGAUGAAGGCCUUCGGUCGUAAGCUCUGUUGUACGGGAAGAACGUCGUUAUGGCUAACAUCCAUAGCGAGUGACGGUACCGUAUAAGAAAGGACCGGCUAACUUCGUGCCAGCAGCCGCGGUAAUAC
rnacentral:rRNA from 1 species